rnacentral:tRNA from 1 species
GCGGAUAUGGCGGAAUUGGUAGACGCGUUAGGCUUAGGACCUAAUGCUUUUUGGGCGUGGGGGUUCGAGUCCCUCUAUCCGUACCA